rnacentral:rRNA from 1 species
GACGCGACCUCAGCUCAGGCGGGGCUACCCGCUGAGUUUAAGCAUAUCAAUAAGCGGAGGAAAAGA